UACAGAGGGGGCAAGCGUUAUUCGGAAUUAUUGGGCGUAAAGGGCGCGUAGGCGGCCUGGCAAGUGGAAGGUGAAAGCCCGGAGCUCAACUCCGGAACUGCCUUUAAAACUGCAUCGCUUGAAUCCAGGAGAGGUGAGUGGAAUUCCGAGUGUAGAGGUGAAAUUCGUAGAUAUUCGGAAGAACACCAGUGGCGAAGGCGGCUCACUGGACUGGUAUUGAGGCUGAGGUGCGAAAGCGUGGGGAGCAAACAGG
rnacentral:rRNA from 1 species